rnacentral:rRNA from 1 species
UAGGGAAUCUUCCGCAAUGGACGAAAGUCUGACGGAGCAACGCCGCGUGAGUGAUGAAGGUUUUCGGAUCGUAAAACUCUGUUGUUAGGGAAGAACAAGUACGAGAGUAACUGCUCGUACCUUGACGGUACCUAACCAGAAAGCCACGGCUAACUACGUGCCAGCAGCCGCGGUAAUACGUAGGUGGCAAGCGUUGUCCGGAAUUAUUGGGCGUAAAGCGCGCGCAGGCGGUCCUUUAAGUCUGAUGUGAAAGCCCACGGCUCAACCGUGGAGGGUCAUUGGAAACUGGGGGACUUGAGUGCAGGAGAGAAGAGUGGAAUUCCACGUGUAGCGGUGAAAUGCGUAGAGAUGUGGAGGAACACCAGUGGCGAAGGCGACUCUUUGGCCUGUAACUGACGCUGAGGCGCGAAAGCGUGGGGAGCAAACAGG